rnacentral:sRNA from 1 species
UCGAAUUAUUGAUGCAAAGAGUAGACAAUUUGCCUAAUUACAGUGAUGUGGCUGCUCCAGAAAUUCGA